ACAUUCCUGUAUUUUGGGGGCGUUUAUGCAGCCGGUAACGUAAGUGGGGAGAUAAAUUGUGAAAUUGAGGCUGCCCGGGGGUAAAAUAUCGCGGUAAAAAGUGCCCCCGUGAAACUAUUUCCAUGAGUCGUGUAAAGUUGCGCGGUGUUCUGCGGCACCGAGAAAGUUUCCCUCCAAAAAUUUAGAGAAAAAGCAGAGCGGCCGAAAAAUUCGCGGCUUGAGAAAAUAAUUAAAAAAAAAAAAAAAAAAAAAAAAAAAAAAAAAAAAAAAAAAAUCAGUAAAAAUUCCACCAAAAAUUAACCCUUUGACUGCCCAAUAGAAGAAAAUAUUCCCUAAUUCCAACAGAGAAGUGCUGAAUUAAAAUAUAACGCGAAGUUGUGCCCCUUGAGAAAAAUUCCCUGAAAAAUUUGACUUGAAGUGUCCUGCGAUAAAAGCGCGUUCCCAUCAAAUUCCAAAUUAAAUUCCACAGAAAACCACCAUUAAAAAGUACCCAGUAGAAAGAAAUGAAAUCUCCCAAAUGUUGAAAAUUUCCUGAAAAUUCCCCUUAAAAAUCCAGUAGAAAAAAUCCCUGAAAUGAAAAUAAUAUGAAAUAAAUAAAUGUCCCAGAAAUAAAUGAAAUGUCCCAUGAAAUUUUAUGUUUAUCCCCUCGCGAGAUUUUCGGCGCAGUGUUCGAAAAAUUUUUCGGCGAAAGGUCAACAGAGGCGCGGCGAUCAAGAAAUCUGUCAGUUUGUUUUGGUUCGUAUAGAAAACACGCCAGUGUGAAGGAAAAUUGAAGGAAAAACCCUGAGAAAAGUGAGGAAAAGUGAAAAGAGAAAUGAAUGAGGAGCGUCAGGGAAGAGAUGAAGCGAUGGAGAGGCUCGCGAUGGCAGCAUCCGGAGGGGAAGCACCCAUGGUAGCAGUGCCAGUAGUAGCAGCACCCGUGGUAGAAACACCUGCGGUAGAAGCACCCGCGAUAGAAACACCUGCGAAGGCAGUGCUUACUGCUGUGACGUUUGGCAAAGGAUUCAAAGGAGGAUAAAUGAAGGGAAUUGCUGGAGAUUGAGAAGCUCGUGUCCCGUUUCGAAUUGAGCGACAGAAGGACGUUAUCCGUCGUUGCACGGCGUGACACCGUGAGUGGAAUCCUCCACCAAUUUGGUGUUAAGGUUGAACAUGCGAUUCUUGUAGCGAGUAUGCGAUUGUAAGGAGCAGCCAAACCAUGGUUCGAUGGGAAGAAAGGCAACCUGCAUACGUGGGAGAUAAGUGGAAAGGCACUUAAGAAAUUCUUUUCGGAUGUGAUUGACAGCCUUGCGAUCCAUCAGAAGCUGCGGGAAGGCAAGAGAGUACUGUUCCGGGGAAAUGGUUUUUGCCCAAUAAAUGACCUUACAAAUCAUAUUGUAGCUGGUAUUCAGGAUUCUAAAUACAAAUCUAUCUUGAGCACA